rnacentral:lncRNA from 1 species
GUCAGCGGGUGGACGCGGGCCAGGGGGGCUGGGAACGUGUCUGAGUGUGUGAGUGAGAGGUGGCGUGCGUGUGUGGGCCAGUGUGAGGGCACACGUGUGCACACGUGCUGUGACCGCAGUCGGGACCAGGGUAGACGCAGGUUCUCAUGUGGGGUCUGAGGGGGCCCGACUUUGGACACUGAGGAUGGGGCGGGGCUGAGAGGCUGCAGACGGGCCGCCCAGUGCUGGGCUCCUGCGGAGUGCAGGGCGGGCACUGGAGCUGCGGAGCCGGUUCAGGGCCCCAGGAGGACAGGCAGCUCAGGACGACAGUGACAGCUGCUGCUUCCACUGGCCGGGGGUGGCCGUCAGUGCCUCUCACCCCACAAGCAACAGACAGCCCACACAUCGCAGUUCAGACGCAGGGCAGCACGUGACACAGCCAAGCUGGUUUGAGAGCAGGGCCGUCCUGACUCUUAGAGGACACAGGACAUCGGCUCCGGGGCCGUCCAUUGGGAAAGGAUGUACCUGGAGCCAGGGCAGGACAAGGUCAGGACAAGGCCCCAUGGCGGGGCAGGGUAGGGGCCCGACUCCACGGAGCUCUGUGGCCUGGGUCUCACGUUCGAGAAGAGCCUCCAAGUUCGGACUUCGGGCAUCUCUUCCGAUGAGGCAACACCUCCAGUCGCCGUAACUCAGGUGAAAUGGGAAAAAAAAGGUGUGACCACCUAAUUCACCGCCAUGGCUCCCAGAGAUGGCAAGAUGCCCGAGGGCGUGUCUGUGGGGUCCCCGUGAUCCCAGGGCCUGGCACGCUGGAAGCUGUCUUGACGCAGAUGUGGUCACAGAGGUGCAGCGUGGCCCGUGACUUGCUCAGAGCCACACAGAAGUGCAGAGCGGAACAGAACAGUCGCCUGCCAUGGGGUGCCUCAUCCACACACCUUCCAACUCAGCAAGGAGGGUGGGGCUCAGAGGGGAGCCACUGUCGGUGAACUCCGGCACCCCCCGCCACCCAGCCGUCCGACCC